rnacentral:tRNA from 1 species
GGACUAUAGCUCAGUGGUAGAGUGCUUGCCUUGUAUGCACAGAACCCUGGCUUCAAUACCCAGAACCA